rnacentral:ncRNA from 1 species
AACCAAAAGGUUUGGUCCUGGCCUUUUUAUUAGUUCUUAGUAGACUUACACAUGCGAGCCUCCCCAUGCCAGUGAGAAUACCCUUAAAAAUCGCUCACAUCGAUUGUAAGGAGUGGGUAUCAAGCACACUAAACGUAGCUCAAGACAUCUUGCCUAGCCACACCCCCACGGGAUACAGCAGUGAUAAAAAUUAAGCAAUGAACGAAAGUUUGACUAAGUCAUACUAUUCAGGGUUGGUCAAUUUCGUGCCAGCCACCGCGGUCAUACGAUUAACCCAAACUAAUAAACCCUACGGCGUAAAGCGUGUUUAAAGACCACCACAAAAAUAGAGUUAAAUUUGGACUAAUAUGUAGAAAUUCAUCGUCCAAGAUAAAAUACACUACGAAAGUGACCCUAUUAAGCCUGAAGACACGAUAGCUAGGGUACAAACUGGGAUUAGAUACCCCAUUAUGCCUAGCCCUAAACAGAGAUAGCCACCUAAUAAGGCUACCCGCCAGAGAACUACUAGCUACUGCUUAAAACUCAAAGGACUUGGCGGUACUUUAUAUCCCCCUAGAGGAGCCUGUUCUGUAAUCGAUAAACCCCGCUCUACCUCACCACUCCUUGCUAAAUCAGCCUAUAUACCGCCAUCUUCAGCAGACCCCUAUAGGGAAAAGAAGUUAGCUUAAGAACCUUAAGCCGUAAAAACGUUAGGUCAAGGUGUAGCCUAUGGAGUGGGCAGUAAUGGGCUACAUUUUCUUUGCCAAGAACAUAACGCUACUCUUUUUGAAAUAAAAGAGCUAAGGAGGAUUUAGUAGUAAACUAAGAAUAGAGUGCUUAGUUGAAUCGAGCAAUGAAGUACGCACACACCGCCCGUCACCCUCCUCAAGUACAUUUCUAAAACCAUUAAAUAAGACUAUGGAAGCCCGUAUUAGAGGAGAUAAGUCGUAACAUGGUAAGCAUACUGGAAAGUGUGCUUGGAUGAAC